rnacentral:ncRNA from 1 species
CAGAGUAGAUUUAUGUGCGCUACAGUGCCUUAAAGACGGGGAGUUGCUUUGAGGACGAAAAGCUCAGGCUUGCGGUACAUAAAUCGCAUCCCGCUGU